rnacentral:rRNA from 1 species
CACGUAGGGCGCAAGCGUUGUCCGGAAUUAUUGGGCGUAAAGAGCUCGUAGGCGGUCUGUUACGUCUGCUGUGAAAACCCAGGGCUUAACCCUGGGCUUGCAGUGGAUACGGGCAGACUAGAGGCAGGUAGGGGAGAAUGGAAUUCCCGGUGUAGCGGUGAAAUGCGCAGAUAUCGGGAGGAACACCCGUGGCGAAGGCGGCUCUCUGGAACGCAACUGACGCUGAGACGCGAAAGCGUGGGGAGCAAACAGG